rnacentral:rRNA from 1 species
GCAUAUCAAUAAGCGGAGGAAAAGAAACUAACAAGGAUUCCCCUAGUAACUGCGAGUGAAGCGGGAUAAGCUCAAAUUUAAAAUCUGGCGGUCUUUGGCCGUCCGAGUUGUAGUCUGGAGAAGUGCUUUCCGCGCUGGACCGUGUAUAAGUCUCUUGGAACAGAGCGUCAUAGAGGGUGAGAAUCCCGUCUUUGACACGGACUACCAGUGCUUUGUGAUGCGCUCUCAAAGAGUCGAGUUGUUUGGGAAUGCAGCUCAAAAUGGGUGGUAAAUUCCAUCUAAAGCUAAAUAUUGGCGAGAGACCGAUAGCGAACAAGUACCGUGAGGGAAAGAUGAAAAGCACUUUGGAAAGAGAGUUAAACAGUACGUGAAAUUGCUGAAAGGGAAACGCUUGAAGUCAGUCGCGUCUGCCGGAACUCAGCCUUGCUUUUGCUUGGUGCAUUUUCCGGUUGACGGGCCAGCAUCGAUUUUGACCGUCGGAAAAGGGCUAGGGAAAUGUGGCACCUUCGGGUGUGUUAUAGUCUCUAGUCGCAUACGGCGGUUGGGAUCGAGGACCGCAGCGCGCCGCAAGGCAGGGGUUCGCCCACUUUCGCGCUUAGGAUGCUGGCAUAAUGGCUUUAAACGACCCGUCUUGAAACACGGACC